rnacentral:rRNA from 1 species
AUACGUAGGGGGCUAGCGUUGUCCGGAAUCAUUGGGCGUAAAGCGCGCGUAGGCGGCCCGGUAAGUCCGUUGUGAAAGUCAAAGGCUCAACCUUUGAAAGCCGAUGGAAACUGCCGGGCUAGAGUCCGGAAGAGGCGAGUGGAAUUCCUGGUGUAGCGGUGGAAUGCGCAGAUAUCAGGAGGAACACCAAUAGCGAAGGCAGCUCGCUGGGACGGUACUGACGCUGAGGCGCGAAAGCGUGGGGAGCGAACAGGAUUAGAUACCCUGGUAGUCCACGCCGUAAACGAUGGGCACUAGGUGUGGGAGGUGUCGACUCCUCCCGUGCCGGCGCUAACGCAUUAAGUGCCCCGCCUGGGGAGUACGGCCGCAAGGCUAAA